GGUAAGUCGACCCCUAAGGCGAGGCCGAAAGGCGUAGUCGAUGGGAAACGGGUUAAUAUUCCCGUACUUCUUACAAUUGCGAUGGGGGGACGGAGAAGGCUAGGUGGGCCUGGCGACGGUUGUCCAGGUUCAAGUGCGUAGGCUUAAGAGUUAGGUAAAUCCGGCUCUUUUUAAGGCUGAGACACGACGUCGAGCACCUACGGGUGUGAAGUCAUUGAUGCCAUGCUUCCAGGAAAAGCCUCUAAGCUUCAGAUUGUAAGGAAUCGUACCCCAAACCGACACAGGUGGUCGGGUAGAGAAUACCAAGGCGCUUGAGAGAACUCGGGUGAAGGAACUAGGCAAAAUGGUACCGUAACUUCGGGAGAAGGUACGCUCUCGACGGUGAAGUCCCUUGCGGAUGGAGCUAUUGAGAGUCGCAGAUACCAGGUGGCUGCAACUGUUUAUUAAAAACACAGCACUGUGCAAAAUCGUAAGAUGACGUAUACGGUGUGACGCCUGCCCGGUGCCGGAAGGUUAAUUGAUGGGGUUAGACUUCGGUCGAAGCUCUUGAUCGAAGCCCCGGUAAACGGCGGCCGUAACUAUAACGGUCCUAAGGUAGCGAAAUUCCUUGUCGGGUAAGUUCCGACCUGCACGAAUGGCGUAAUGAUGGCCACGCUGUCUCCACCCGAGACUCAGUGAAAUUGAAAUCGCUGUGAAGAUGCAGUGUACCCGCGGCUAGACGGAAAGACCCCGUGAACCUUUACUACAGCUUGGCACUGAACA
rnacentral:rRNA from 1 species